UGUGUGUGUUAUAUUUUAUUGUUGUGUUUCUGUCGUGUCGUAUAUUUGAUGUGUUUCCCUCAGGUUGUUUUUUUAACCCAGAUUCGUUUUUUCUCAAUCGAUUUAUGAAUUUCGAACAGCGAUAUACUACUGUUGCCUUUAUUAAAGAGGUUUUUACCUAAAAGUUUUGCAAAUUCAACAUAUUUUCCCGUAUUUUCGUAUACUAUAUUUUUUAUAAUGUGAUGGUGUUGUCAGGGUCGUCAACC
rnacentral:lncRNA from 1 species